CAAGAAACGAGGCCGCGUGCGGUUCGCCCGCCCGGCCCCGCUCCUUACCUUGCCUACUGCACCAUUCGUUGCUUCCUGGCGGCGGCGUGCCUGCCGCCAGGGACAUUGAUACAACCCUGUAUAAGCAUUGAAGCUCUGAGAAAACGCGAAAUCGUA
rnacentral:misc_RNA from 1 species